UACGAGAGGCCCAAACGUUAUUCGGAUUUACUGGGCUUAAAGAGUUCGUAGGCGGCGCGGAAAGUAGGGUGUGAAAGCCCUCGGCUCAACCGAGGAAUUGCGCUCUAAACUGUCGCGCUCGAGGAACCUAGAGGUGAGCAGAACUGAUGGUGGAGCGGUGAAAUGCGUUGAUAUCAUCAGGAAUACCGGAGGCGAAGGCGGCUCACUGGGGGUUAUCUGACGCUGAGGAACGAAAGCUAGGGGAGCAAACGGG
rnacentral:rRNA from 1 species